AGUUCUUUUUCGGACAAGGUUGGA
rnacentral:siRNA from 1 species